GACAGAGGGGGCAAGCGUUGCUCGGAAUUACUGGGCGUAAAGGGCGCGUAGGCGGGCUGGCAAGUCGGUCGUGAAAUCCUUCGGCUCAACCGAAGAACGUCGAUCGAUACUGCUGUUCUUGAGGGUUGCAGAGGAGACUGGAAUUCCCGGUGUAGCGGUGAAAUGUGUAGAGAUCGGGAGGAACACCGGUGGCGAAGGCGACUUUCUGGCCUGUUCUUGACGCUGAGGCGCGAAAGCUAGGGGAGCAAACGGG
rnacentral:rRNA from 1 species